rnacentral:rRNA from 1 species
AGCAGUAGCCACGGUAAUACGUAGGUCCCGAGCGUUGUCCGGAUUUAUUGGGCGUAAAGGGAGUGUAGGCGGUCUUUUAAGUCUGAUGUGAAAGCCCACGGCUCAACCGUGGAGGGUCAUUGGAAACUGGGAGACUUGAGUGCAGAAGAGGAGGGCGGAAUUCCAUGUGUAGCGGUGAAAUGCGUAGAUAUAUGGAGGAACACCGGUGGCGAAAGCGGCUCUCUGGCUUGUAACUGACGCUGAGGCUCGAAAGCGUGGGGAGCAAGCAGGAUUAGAUACCCCAGUAGUCCCUGUCUCUUAUAC